GCCGGUGUGGUGGAAUAGGCAGACACCCGGGACUUAAAAUCCCGUAUUCGUUUCGAAUGUGCGGGUUCGAUCCCCGCCACCGGCACCA
rnacentral:tRNA from 1 species